rnacentral:rRNA from 1 species
UGGGGAAUCUUCCGCAAUGGGUGAAAGCCUGACGGAGCAACGCCGCGUGAGGGACGAAGGCCUUUGGGCUGUAAACCUCUUUUCUCAAGGAAGAAGAUAUGACGGUACUUGAGGAAUAAGCCACGGCUAAUUCCGUGCCAGCAGCCGCGGUAAUACGGGAGUGGCAAGCGUUAUCCGGAAUUAUUGGGCGUACAGCGUCCGCAGGCGGCUUUUCAAGUCUGCUGUUAAAGCGUGGAGCUUAACUCCAUCAUGGCAGUGGAAACUGAAAGGCUUGAGUAUGGUAGGGGCAGAGGGAAUUCCCGGUGUAGCGGUGAAAUGCGUAGAUAUCGGGAAGAACACCAGUGGCGAAGGCGCUCUGCUGGGCCAUUACUGACGCUCAUGGACGAAAGCCAGGGGAGCGAAAGGGAUUAGAUACCCCUGUAGUCA